rnacentral:pre_miRNA from 1 species
CAAGUACUCCCUCCGUCUCAAAAUUCUUGUCUUUGUUUUGUCUAGAUACGGAUGUACCUAAUACUAAAACAUGACUUGAUACAUCCGUAUUUAGACAAAUCUAAGACAAGAAUUUUGGGACGGAGGGAGUAUUUC